rfam:Heligmosomoides polygyrus genome assembly, scaffold: HPBE_scaffold0000241
GUGCUGGUGGUGUAAAGGCGUAGAGCAUUCCCGCCCGGUCAGAGGGAGGUGCGGGUUCGAGUCCCGCCUAGUGCU